AUACGUAGGGGGCGAGCGUUGUCCGGAAUGAUUGGGCGUAAAGGGCGCGUAGGCGGCGCGGUAAGUCUGGAGUGAAAGUCCUGCCUUCAAGGUGGGAAUUGCUUUGGAUACUGCCGCGCUUGAGUGCAGGAGAGGUUAUCGGAAUUCCCGGUGUAGCGGUGAAAUGCGUAGAGAUCGGGAGGAACACCAGUGGCGAAGGCGGGUAACUGGACUGCAACUGACGCUGAGGCGCGAAAGUGUGGGGAGCAAACAGGAUUAGAUACCCUGGUAGUCCACACUGUAAACGAUGAAUGCUAGGUGUAAGAGGUAUCGACCCCUUUUGUGCCGGAGUCAACACAAUAAGCAUUCCGCCUGGGGAGUACGGCCGCAAGGUUGAAACUCAAAUGAAUCGACGGGG
rnacentral:rRNA from 1 species